ACAGUAGGUUCUUUACUUUAGUGUCUAUUUAUGAAGCUAUUAGGAUACCAAUACCAUAGCCGGAACAAUCCCAUUGACAAGACUGUUACUCUGCUAUAUAUGGAUUUUCUCCUGAUCUGAGUUCUGUCAGCUAUUUAGAGGUUUUUACAGAGUUCCAAAUACUACAGAGGUAAUGAAUGACAAAAUUCUUUAAAGGAGUAUUGUGUUCAUGGAUAAUCCUCAAAAACCUUCAGCAGAUCCACGCCUCAGAAAGGGAUAAGGGAAAAGGAUAGAGAGAUGGUACUAAAACAAAAAAAGAGGCAACAAUCUGAGGAGAAAUUUACUAAUAAUUUACUAAUUUACUAAUAAUUUAAUUUACUAAAUAAGACAUCGGAAUGCAAGAUGACACACUAUAAUACAAUAUAAUACAAUAUAAUUAGAAUUGAAGCUAAUAAAUCAAAUUAAAUGAGAGAGACUGAAAACUGAAGGCCUUACUCUAAUGCUGAGGCAAGACGUGCGGUCGGUACAAGGAGAAGGGAAGAGAUCCAGUUCCCAUGACUUUGCCAGGGAUUUUAUCUCCCCUCUGAACACAGAGACCUCUGGGGUGUGUAGUUCUUCUUCUUUUCUGGGACAGGUACCCAGAACUGGAGCAUUAACUCUUUAACUCCUAGUGCACUACAUGAUGUUAUGAUGUGGAAUACUGAUAACCAAAAAUCAUAAAACCAUUACAAGUUUUACUCUCUUCCCUACUGCAGUAGUUGCUAUAUAUAAUUCUGUUACUUUUUCCGUUAUUUUAUAUAUAUAUAUAUAUAUAUAUAAAAUACCUGGGUGGAUGUUGGUUCUAAAAUAUGAAGUGACAUCAAUCAUGACAAUAAGAGUGUUCAGUAUUUUAAUUUUUUUUAAUGGAUUAUACAUAAUAUUUGUCUUGAUACUUUCAAACAAAGCUUCUGUAAAUAGUAAGAUGGAUCACUGUUUCUGCUAACUCUGUCAUAACAACUAACAAGAACUGUUAUCACAGCGCUUGUUAGUAAGUGUGAAGAUAAAAUAAGCCAAAAUGAAACACAGUAUUACUGUAGACUUUUCACACCUAGGACAUUUAAAAAAUAUUAGAUGAUGGAUUAUUUUCUCAUCAAAAUACUUACAAAAAUAAGCAAGUCCUGCAUACUUAUGUAAGCAAGUAUUUAUGUUUGUGUGCAUUUACAAAAAAUUUUGGUUUCAGUCUUCUCAGAAAUGUUUUCUGUCACAUUUUACCUGACACUUUUGACUGACUGUCAUUCAGAGACAGCUAAUAGGUGGUUUUCCACAAGCAUUAUGCAUAUGCUUUAACAUAAUUAGAUUUCUGACAAACUUAGAUGUUUUGGGGCUAAUCAUCUCACUUCCGUAUAAAUCAAAUCCUCAAAAAAUUCAAGAAUAUAUACAUAUAUUUUUUCCUAACCAGUGGGCUGGGGUACUUCUUUCGGAAUGAAAAGUCAUUGUCCUCAGAAUUGGCUAUAAAACAAAGUAGUAAUGUUAGGAUUACUUUGAGCAUACGGUGAGAAAAGGUUUCACCCGAAAGCUCUUUUCUUGUGGAUGAGAAACUUAGUAUAAUAGAAUCCUUAGAUUUAGAAGGUACCUUUAAAGGCCAUCUAGUGCAACUCCCCUGCAAUGAGCAGGGACAUCCAGGGUUGCUCAAAGCCUGGUCCAUCCUGGCCUUCAAUGCCUGUGGGGAGGGAGCCUCCGUAACCUCUCUGGGCAACUUGUUCUAGUGCCUCACCACCCUUUAUUCCAACUUACAUAUGGAAUAAAAUAUAUUACCUACAUUUAAGGGGAAAAAAAAAAAGAAUUUUCAUCUCUUACUGUCAUAAAAAUGAGCCUAAAUUGCAUAUAAGUGGGAUGAUGGCUGCCAAUGAUGGCAGACAAUUGUCUUCAAACAGUGUAUUAGUGAAUCUCUGACAAAUACAUAUAGAUUUUUCAUGUGGCAUGUUUUUUUACCAAUCUUAUUAUCUACCAAUAUGUAUGUUCUGCUUCAAAGCUCCUAGAUACUUAAUUCUCUGGAUAUAGCUAACAUGUUAAUGUUGAGUCUUUAGGGUUGUGUGAAAAGCAUCUUCCUCCAGAGCUGCUUUCCUCCAGAAGAGAGUGCUCAGGAGUGGUUACUGGCGGAACAUCUGGCCUAAUAGCCUCAGCUUGGUGUGGGAAAACUGGGGAACGACACCAUCGUGCCCUGUGAAAAACAGGAUGCAGAUGGGCAUCCCUGCUCCCUCUUACCUGCUGGCAAGGCCUGGAAGAUGAUAACAAAGGAGUUUCUGCUGAGAUCCCAGAGCCAGUAGCUGCCACUCCAAGGAGAGCUGAGUCAACCUCUUUGGAUUCGAGCUGUCACUCCAAAGAGAGCUGACUCGACCACUUUGGACUUAUAAAUAAGUUUGUACUGCCAUCGUUGUCGUCAUCGCCGUGGACACCGUUGUCAAGAGAACAACAACCCACCACUACUGAAGAUCAGUGACUGAACUAUGAACCACGCUGGACCCAUGGUGGUGACUAUCUCCCUCUUGCCUCCUAUAGAGACUCCUUGCUUCUAUUUCCUAUCUUCUCUGCUGCCCUUCUCCCCUUCCCCAUCUCCCUGAACGACUAGGAUUUGUAAUAAACUG
ensembl:lncRNA